AUACGGAGGAUGCGAGCGUUAUCCGGAUUUAUUGGGUUUAAAGGGUGCGUAGGCGGUCGGGUAAGCGUAGGGUGAAAGUCCUCUGCUCAACAGAGGAAGUGCCUUCCGAACUGUCCGACUGGAAUGCUCCUGCCAUGGGAGGAAUGUGUGGCGUAGCGGUGAAAUGCAUAGAGAUCACACAGAACACCGAUUGCGAAGGCAUCUCACGAAGGGGCUAUUGACGCUGAGGCACGAAAGCGUGGGGAUCAAACAGGAUUAGAUACCCUGGUAGUCCACGCAGUAAACGAUGAUGACUAACCGUCGGUCAAGACUGAUCGGUGGCCAAGCGAAAGCGAUAAGUCAUCCACCUGGGGAGUACGACCGCAAGGUUGAAACUCAAAUGAAUUGACGGGG
rnacentral:rRNA from 1 species